AUCCCCCAAUCCCGGGGUUAUCCCUCAGUCCCAGGGUUAUCCCGCUUUUCCCAGGGUUAUCCCUCAGUCCCAGGGGUCUCGUUUGCCUCAGGCAGUUCCUCCAUGCCCACCCCAGCCCCAUCAGUUGCAGAUUUGUUCCUCCAGGAGCUGCCUCUUUAACCUUGUGUGGUUAAAGGAGAUUUCCAGGGGACUGGGAGCAAAUUAAAACCGGUUUUAGCUCAGCCCAUUUUCAGUCAGUGUAUCCAGAGGACGUGGAAUCAACUAAAACUGGCUUUGGCUCCCCAUUUUCAGGUGCUGUGGUGCCAGCACUGUCCCCAGGCUGGCUUUUGCUGUGUGACACAUCUGGGGAGAGUGGGAGCUGCUGGAACUCGGGCUGGAUGGAAUUCCUGCUCCUCUUUACCUGCCCGCCUGCCUCUUGCUCGUUUCUCUUCCUAGAUGCGUAGGGAAUGCAUUUCCUGGUGGGUUUUUAACUGGAGUCUUCUGAAUCUCAGUGGGGAAAGGUGUCUGGAGUGGGGCAGCUGCUGAGAGAGCUCCUGAAGGCUCUGAGUGACCACUCUGGGAUUUCCUGAGCAGCCCUGGGUGUCUCAGCAGUGCUGCAUCAAAAGCUGCCAGUGUCUAUCCAGCAUGGAAGAGAAGGGGUUAAUGAAGGAUUAGGUCCUUAAUCUGUGCCAAGAGUGAAAGAAAUGUUGACUUUUUUUUCUUUGUCACAUGCUAGAAAAAGCCACAAAGGACAAGCAGGAGGAUUUUCAGCUCUCAGAGCCUUCCCUUAAGCAUGCUGCCCUGGCUUUCCUUUCAGCCCGAGCACCGACCCCAGGAGCAGGUGAUGACAGAGAAAUGCUCCCAUCUCCUGGAAAUGAAGAGCUCAGGUGCUGGUAAAACUCUUGGCUGGCUUUUUAUCCUAAAUUGUGUUACAAUUCCAGAGUCAGGUCUGUGUUUCAGGCUUGUUCCCUCCUGGCUGGGGUCUGACACAAACCCUGCGUGGUGCAGCCGAGGUUGUGCAGGAUGUGUUUCAUUCUGGAUUCCUCUCAGGAGGGCGGGAGCUGUGUGUGUUAAUUGUUCUCAGGCUGAGCCCUGAGAAGCUAAUGAGUGCAAGGAGCAAUUCUUCUGGCUUCCUUGGUUGGAAUUAGCUGUGUGGUGCUUUGAGAACUCAAAGAUUAAAAGGUUCUGGUUAUUGCAGUACUCAUCUGCUUUUUUACCUUUUUCUUGAUGGGUUCAAUCAAACUGGACUCAACUUCUUUUCCAGGCUCCUGCCUGAAGGUUCUGAGCUGUGCUGAGCACAGCAAAAGGUGAGCACGGUGCCUGAGCUGCUCUUGGAGGCUGGAGAGCAGCUGGAGAGAGCAGGACAGUGGUGAUGGGAGAAGCAUCCUUGUCCCCAGAGCAGCAGGGACCUCUUGUGGGGCCACUGGGGCCACUGGGGCCACUGGGACACUGGGACUGGGAGUGAGAGGCUGUUUGUCCCUCUGUGAGAGUGGGAAAGGCAGGAUUCUCUCGGCUCAGACAUGAGAAACAAAGAGCUCUAAAUGGUGCAGAGGCUUUCCUUCCUCCCAGCCCACAGCUGGGAUGUGAGACUGGGCUCCAGGCUGAGCAGAAAGCCAGGCUCUCCUCCCUGGCCAGCCCAGAGCUGGGCUGUGAGCAUUUCAGGGGAGUAAAACAGAGCCAGAGCAGAACUUCUGCUCAUCUGCUUUUCCAUGGAGUGUCUUCAUCUGUGAUAAAAGUGUCUCACUGAUGUGGCACUAGAUCCAGGAGAGCAGCAGGCGCUGUGAAGGCUCUGCCUGUGAUAUGCAGAGGUGCUGUGGGGUCUCAGCUCCUAAUCAUCACUUGAAAGCCCCAAGGCAUAUGACCAGGUUCCCAGUUAAUGGAGAACUCUGCCUCAGCCCAGCUUCCUACCCAGCUGCAAAGGCAAAGUAAAAACUUCUUGUUGAAGCCAUUAAAAAAAAAAAAAAAUUAAAAGGUUAUAUCAGUACAUUCUGUCUCCCAG